UAGGGAAUCUUCGGCAAUGGACGGAAGUCUGACCGAGCAACGCCGCGUGAGUGAAGAAGGUUUUCGGAUCGUAAAGUUCUUUUGUUAGAGAAGAACGUUGGUAGGAGUGGAAAAUUUACCAAGUGACGGUAACUAACCAGAAAGGGACGGCUAACUACGUGCCAGCAGCCGCGGUAAUACGUAGGUCCCGAGCGUUGUCCGGAUUUAUUGGGCGUAAAGCGAGCGCAGGCGGUUCUUUAAGUCUGAAGUUAAAGGCUGUGGCUUAACCAUUGUACGCUUUGGAAGCUGGAGGGCUUGAGUGCAGAAGGUGGGAGUGGAAUUCCAUGUGUAGCGGUGAAAUGCGUAGAUAUAUGGAGGAACACCGGUGGCGAAAGCGACUUUCUGGUAUGUAACUGACGCUGAGGCUCGAAAGCGUGGGGAGCAAACAGG
rnacentral:rRNA from 1 species